rnacentral:rRNA from 1 species
GACGAACGCUGGCGGCGUGCUUAACACAUGCAAGUCGAACGGAAAGGCCCUGCUUUUGGUGGGUGCUCGAGUGGCGAACGGGUGAGUAACACGUGAGUAACCUGCCCUUGACUUUGGGAUAACUUCAGGAAACGGGGGCUAAUACCGGAUAGGAGCUCCUGCUGCAUGGGGGGGGUUGGAAAGUUUGGGCGGUUGGGGAUGGACUCGCGGCUUAUCAGCUUGUUGGUGGGGUGGUGGCUUACCAAGGCUUGGACGGGUGGCCGGCCUGGGGGGGUGACCGGCAAAAUGGGGAUGGAGAUCGGGCCAGGACCCUACGGGGAGGAAGCAGUGGGGAAUAUGGCACAAGGGGCGGAAGCCUGAUGCGGCAACGCCGGGGCCGGGAUGACGGCUUUCGGUUGUUAAACCGUUUCCGCCGGUGACGAAGUGGGAGUGACGGUAAUUGGUAAAGAAGCACCGGCUAACUACGUG